GUUCGGGAGCUGCGCGGUGGGACGCGAAGCACGAAUGGGACCCCACCCCUCAUUCGCCGCUCUGUGCCGGUCGGGCCCCGACGAUCGGU
rnacentral:ncRNA from 1 species